rnacentral:lncRNA from 12 species
CCCACCUCCUACCAGUUAACAAUUAGCUAGUUAAAUAAGCCACGUUGGGGUUCUUUGUGUCUGUUUUACUCGGCACCCUGUGGUGCUUAUCCAAGCUCUUUAAGAGAGAUUUGUGCUUGGAUCUGAUCCUUGUGAUGCAUUAAGAAAGGUGAGAAACUGGCCAUUUCUUCCUUUUAAUGCUUUUCUUUGGGAUGGGAUGGAAUAGGAGUGCACAUCGAGUGACCCUAGUCACUCACUCCUAGACAUCAUUUCAAGUACCAACUGCACUGACUGAGCUUUUAAACUGGCCUUAAUUAGCCUGUAAGAGCUCCCUGUCUUCUGCCCCAUUUCACAGUUCUGUGAAAGGAGACUGCCUGCCUGCCUCAUCAAGUGGUGUCACAGGAUUGUGGUGGAUACGCAAACAUAAGAGAGAUACUGACAGUCUCACUGUGGUGAUAAUACUAACGUAUGUACAAAAUCAGCAAAUAAGCAAUAUCUUCCUAUGUGUUAAUUGUAUGGUUUACUAUAGAAUUUUUGAGUGAGAGAGAAGUAAUGUAUAGAUAAAAACUGAAAUAAUUAUGAAUGAUUGCACAAAGGAAAU